rnacentral:rRNA from 1 species
GGGGAAUCUUGCGCAAUGGGCGAAAGCCUGACGCAGCCAUGCCGCGUGUAUGAUGAAGGUCUUAGGAUUGUAAAAUACUUUCACCGGUGAAGAUAAUGACUGUAGCCGGAGAAGAAGCCCCGGCUAACUUCGUGCCAGCAGCCGCGGUAAUACGAAGGGGGCUAGCGUUGCUCGGAAUUACUGGGCGUAAAGGGAGCGUAGGCGGACAUUUAAGUCAGGGGUGAAAUCCCGGAGCUCAACUCCGGAACUGCCCUUGAUACUGGGUGUCUUGAGUGUGAGAGAGGUAUGUGGAACUCCGAGUGUAGAGGUGAAAUUCGUAGAUAUUCGGAAGAACACCAGUGGCGAAGGCGACAUACUGGCUCAUUACUGACGCUGAGGCUCGAAAGCGUGGGGAGCAAAC